rnacentral:rRNA from 1 species
AGGACGAACGCUGGCGGUCAUGCUUUACACAUGCAAGUCGAACGGCAGGCACGGGGGCAACCCUGGUGGCGAGUGGCGAACGGGUGAGUAAUGCAUCGGAACGUAUCCUUGAGUGGGGGAUAAACGCAGUCGAAAGUUGUGCUUAAUACCGCAUAAAGGCUACUGGAGGAGGAAAGCGGGGGACCGAAAGGCCUCGCGCUGAAGGAGCGGACCGAUGUCCGAUUAGGCUAGUUGGUGAGGUAAAGGUCUUACCAAGGCGACGAUCGGUAGCUGGUACUGAGA